UUGCACACCAUUGUAUUUAUUAUAGAAUUUAUAUACUAAUUAAUUAGAAUCAGAAUCGAUUUUGAGAUUAAAGUGACUAUUUCCAGGACGAGCUGCAGUACAAUUACGUAUUACGUAUUACGUACAAUUACGACUCGAUAAGCAUCAGGCGAAUAGUUGUUAUUACGAUUUGUUUAAUGUACUUCGGAGUUGAAAUGAAGUUAAGCUAGACUAUACACAGGUUUGUUAUUACGUCUGCAUCGCUAUGCCUAUUGUCCUCGGGACAUUGUACUACGUAGAGUACUUGUAACAAGUUCAUUCACGCUAGAUUUAAAUCUAAUAACGGGGAAAUACUACGCUAUAUUCUAUGUAUAUAAUAUGUUAUUCCUUGCUAACCAAUGAAUUGCGUCUGCGAAAUUUUAUUACGAACUUUGUCCAGAGAGGCGAUAAUAAGAAAAUAAAAUUUAAAGUUUAUAACCUUAAUAUUAUUAUAUUAUUCCUUAUCAACAAACGAAUGUCGUGUAAGAGACUUCGUUAUAAACUCAGUUUGAAGAAUGGAUAAUAAAAAAAUAGAAUUUUUAAGUUUAUGACCUUUCAAGUUUGUAUAAAAAUUCUAUAAAGGGCAAUAUAGUGGGCAGAGGAAAACUGAGGUAAAAGGAGGAACACUGUGUUAAAGGGAAAACGUGUGUAUUGAUACUGACAGGGUGUGCUGCACUUCUAUACGCUGCAUGGCUAAAGGGCACAUGUCUCAUUACACACGAACGUUCUUUUGAAUAUGUAGCCUAACAAGGAUACACCUUGCUGUUUUAGAAAUCGAUGUCGAUAGAAAUUAUUAUUAUCAUUAGAAGCAAACUAAGCAUUAUUGACUAAGUAACAGACCAUCUUUUAACCAAUCGAUAA